rnacentral:rRNA from 1 species
UACGAAGGGGGCUAGCGUUGUUCGGAAUCACUGGGCGUAAAGCGUAUGUAGGCGGAUUGUUAAGUCAGGGGUGAAAUCCCGAGGCUCAACCUCGGAACUGCCUUUGAUACUGGCUGUCUUGAGUCCGGGAGAGGUGAGUGGAACUCCUAGUGUAGAGGUGAAAUUCGUAGAUAUUCGCAAGAACACCAGUGGCGAAGGCGGCCGACUGGUCCGGUUCUGACGCUGAGGCGCGAAAGCGUGGGGAGCAAACAGG